rnacentral:lncRNA from 1 species
GGUCAGAUAAGUGGAGAUUGGUGGGGGUCCCCCGUUGCUUUUCUUAGAUAACAAUAAAUUGGCCAGAUAAGCGAACAAAAUCAAUUAAAUAACCAUCUUGCAAUUACUUACCUUAAAUACUAAUUGGACAAUUGAUCCAAAUAGGCUAGCUUAGGUGAAUCAAACUCGAGCCACAGAGCCAAAUUAGAUCCUUAGGUUAAUUGAUUCUACAUAUGGGUGUUAAUCGAUUCGAUCAACAAUAAUUGUAUGAUCUUUGGCUCUAUU